rnacentral:sRNA from 1 species
UCGCAGUGGGGUUUAGUCUCUAAAGAG